AGGAUUGAAGGUCGAUAAAAGAAACUCUCUUCCAUGAUUUUCCGAGGACUUGAGCCUCCCGGCGAUAUUGAUACUAUAGUGCCAACACGCAUAGAUUGGUAACUAGACAAGGUUGCAAGAGCCCCUGAGAGAGAAUGUCUUAGAAGAAGAAGAAGAAGAUGAAGAUGAUGAUGAUGAUGAUGAAGAAGAAGAAGAAGAAGAAGAAGAAGAAGAAAGAUUUGAGGAAAAAAAAUGAAAUUCAGGAAUUUUAAUAGGCAAAGAGAAAUGUGGGGGUAACAAAC